rnacentral:lncRNA from 1 species
CGACCAACGACUCGCCGAAAUUGAGCACUACCACUUGACGGAUGUACCCGCACGGAUCGCCACUGCCGCCACUUCGCGUUCGGCACGAACAACGAGGACGUAUACACGCAACCGUCGUUACGCAUUAGAGCUUUUAGAGCUCUUAGAUUUUGGAAAAUGUGAACAUCGAAUGGAUCAAGUGGGAAUUGAACAGAGCCUUAAAAAGCUUUAAAAAUGUGGUCUAUACAUUCCAAACACACGUUCCAGAAAGUAGACAGCAAAUGUGCGGACAUAGAUACUGCCGUACUGGUAUCUUUCGAAAAGUGAGUGUUGGGACGUUGGAUGUUGUUUUAAAAUGUCAAUGUUCAUAUCUACGUUUACCAAACUAUUUCAUAGAAUAGCAUGGGUGUCACUAUAUUUGAAAGAAUAAGAUAGACGUUUCCACACCACAGCAUAAAUCGUCAGCGCUUCAUCUGAAGAAAAGGUACUGGGCAUUGGCAUACUGUUCGGACGGAGCACAAUUUCCUUGCAACCUAUAUAUUAUAUAAUUUACUGUUUUAAGUGUUAUAGUUACAAAUUUUAUCGAUUAAAGUAUCUAGUAAAUAGAAAUAGAACUUUCAAAUGAUUAUAAUAGCAAUAUAUUAAAAACAAUUUGUACUAAA